ACGGAGGGGGCUAGCGUUGUUCGGAAUUACUGGGCGUAAAGCGCACGUAGGCGGGUCGCUAAGUCGGGGGUGAAAUCCUGGGGCUCAACCUCAGAACUGCCUUCGAUACUGGCGACCUUGAGUACGGGAGAGGUGAGUGGAAUUCCCAGUGUAGAGGUGAAAUUCGUAGAUAUUGGGAAGAACACCAGUGGCGAAGGCGGCUCACUGGCCCGUAACUGACGCUGAGGUGCGAAAGCGUGGGGAGCAAACAG
rnacentral:rRNA from 1 species